UACGUAGGGGGCAAGCGUUGUCCGGAAUCAUUGGGCGUAAAGAGCGUGUAGGCGGCCCGAUAAGUCCGCUGUGAAAGUCCAGGGCUCAACCCUGGAAUGCCAGUGGAAACUGUCGGGCUGGAGUCCGGAAGAGGCGAGUGGAAUUCCUGGUGUAGCGGUGAAAUGCGCAGAUAUCAGGAGGAACACCAAUGGCGAAGGCAGCUCGCUGGGACGGUACUGGCGCUGAGACGCGAAAGCGUGGGGAGCAAACAGG
rnacentral:rRNA from 1 species